UACGGGGGGAGCAAGCGUUGUUCGGAUUUACUGGGCGUAAAGGGCGCGUAGGCGGUCGUGCCAAGUCACUUGUGAAAUCUCCGGGCUUAACUCGGAACGGUCAAGUGAUACUGUCGGACUAGAGUACAGAAGGGGCAACUGGAAUUCUCGGUGUAGCGGUGAAAUGCGUAGAUAUCGUCAAGAACACCUAUAGCGAAGGCAGCUUACUAGGCUGUAACUGACGCUGAGGCACGAAAGUGUGGGGAUCAAACAGG
rnacentral:rRNA from 1 species